rnacentral:rRNA from 1 species
UCCGUAGGUGAACCUGCGGAAGGAUCAUUACUUGCGGUAGUUUACUACUGUUUGAAGGGGGCGGAAACUUCUCAGGUCUCCCUGGGAAGAAGUAUGCUUCUUUUCUCAACCCUUGACUUUUUGCGUACUCAUGUUUCCUCGGUGGGCUUGCCCACCGGUUGGACUAUUCUAUAACCUUUUUAAUUUUCAAUCAGCGUCUGAAUUAUCAUAAUAAUUACAACUUUCAACAACGGAUCUCUUGGUUCUGGCAUCGAUGAAGAACGCAGCGAAAUGCGAUAAGUAGUGUGAAUUGCAGAAUUCAGUGAAUCAUCGAAUCUUUGAACGCACCUUGCGCUCCUUGGUAUUCCGAGGAGCAUGCCUGUUUGAGUGUCAUUAAAUUCUCAACCUCACCCAUUUUGUCAUGAGAUGGCUUGUGUAGGCUUGGAUGUGGAGGCUUUGCAGGUCCGCUCUUUUGUGGUCUGCUCCUCUGAAAUGCAUUAGUGGGUUUCGCCCCCUAAAUCUAUUGGUGUGAUAAUUAUCUAUGCCGUUGAUCUAGGUUUGGCAAUACAAAGGAACCUGGCUGGACAACCGGUCCGGUCUCGGGACAACUUGACAUUUUGGACCUCAAAUCAGGGGUAAGGACUACCCGGGCUGAACUUAAGCAUAUCAAUAAGCGGA